rnacentral:rRNA from 1 species
CCUACGGGAGGCAGCAGUGAGGAAUAUUGGUCAAUGGACGAGAGUCUGAACCAGCCAAGUAGCGUGAAGGAUGACUGCCCUAUGGGUUGUAAACUUCUUUUAUAUGGGAAUAAAACGUUCCACGUGUGGGAUUUUGUAUGUACCAUAUGAAUAAGGAUCGGCUAACUCCUUGCCAGCAGCCGCGGUAAUACGGAGGAUCCGAGCGUUAUCCGGAUUUAUUGGGUUUAAAGGGAGCGUAGGUGGAUUGUUAAGUCAGUUGUGAAAGUUUGCGGCUCAACCGUAAAAUUGCAGUUGAAACUGGCAGUCUUGAGUACAGUAGAGGUGGGCGGAAUUCGUGGUGUAGCGGUGAAAUGCUUAGAUAUCACGAAGAACUCCGAUUGCGAAGGCAGUUCACUGGACUGCAACUGACACUGAGGCUCGAAAGUGUGGGUAUCAAACAGGAUUAGAUACCCCUGUAGUC